CAAGGCAGGGAAGGAACAGGACAGAUUGCUCAGGGCGCUGUGGGUUUGUGGUGAGGAUUUUGCCCAGAGGAGCUAGGAGCCAUAGAGUGUUGUAGAGAGCGGAAGAAUAUGGCCUGAGGUUCUCACAGGCGCCCUCUGGCUGCUGUGGGGCCAGGCUGGCAGCAGGGGCAUGAGGGCAGAGGCACCUUCCCCCGGGAGAUGACUGCUGAGAUGGUGAGAAGUGAGUAGAAGAAUGAGAAAUUGUAAAGCUGUACAAGAAAGAGGCGAUUAAAGCAGUCUCCAAGCGAAUGCAUUCAAGGAUUCCUUGUUUGAGUCCAGAAGUGUUUAUUGAGCCCGUACCGUGUGCUGGGCACUGUUCUAGUUUGAGAACGCAGCAAUGAGUAAAGCAAUAAACAUCCCUGCCCUGGGGGAGCUGAUGGUGUCGUGGGGGAGAGAGACAAGAAGCAAGAUUCAUUUUAAAGCAGGAUCAAGGGGUAGUGCCCUUUUAUGUGAAAAAUGCAACAGAGCGAGCCUUGGAGAGUAGUGAUGGGGCUGCACACGGAGACUGGUUGGACUGGGCAGAACUUGGGAUGCAUUUUGAAGCCAGAGCUGCUCUCAGGGUUGGCAGGCGGAUUGCCUGUAUAGGUGGAAAUGACAGAACGUGGUGCCUGGGUAUGAACGUGAACUUUGAAGGGACACCCAUACAGAUACCGUUAGGUUGAAUGUUUAUUGUUUCCCCCCAUCUUAGGUUGGGUUCCCGAGAAGCUAAUCCCGAGUCAGGGAUUUGGAGCACAUGGUUAACUGUGAGUGGAGGGAGGUGAAACUUCACUCUUAACUAUGGACAAGAAGGAUCCAGCAUUAUUUCUGUCCCAUCAGACUUAUUGUGGUGCAGGAAAUGGGAGAGGAGGAAGUGUCUGUGAAGCAGCCACUGUGUGCUAGGCAUCGGGCGGUGUGCCAGGGAACUGCGGGGAGAAAUUAAGACCUGGUUCCUGCCCUUCAAAGCCAGUGGGGCAUGUGCAAAGUCCUUGACCACUAGUCCUAAAAACUGCCAAGGUCCUGAGAAAGGAAAGACCAAGAAACGAUCACAGACGUGAGAGGAAGAUGAAGGAGAUGUGGGGACUAAACGCACCGUGGGAUUCUGGAUGGGACUCUGGACCAGGAAAAGGACAUGGGUGGAAAACCUGGGGAAAUCCCAUAAAAUCUGAAAUUUCAUCAUAGUGGUGCACCAGUGUUGCUUUCUCAGUUGUGACAAGGGUACCAUGGGCAUGUAAGAUGUUAUCAACAGGGGAAAUUGGGUGGAGGGCAUAUGGGAGCUCUCCAUCCGAUCUUCACAACUUUUCUGUAAGUCUAAAGUUAUUCCAGAAUAAAAAAAUGAUUUAGAAAAAGUCAGCAGGGGACAUGGAACUAUUCUAGAACAUCGGUGGUUCCAGGUUGCUAGAAAAGGUCCUCCUGACUGAGCAUGCAGUGUGCUGGGCGCUACAGUUGACUCCUGACAUGUUCU